ACCUGGAGCACAGUAGUUAUUGCUACAGUUGAGCUUUAGUGCAGUAGGUGGCAAGGAGGAGAUUUGCUCUCUUCUAUGGGUGACCAAGAAGCCCUGCAGAUACAAAUAAGAAGGCAGCAGCAGAAGAAGCUGUGUGUGGAGGUCACUGCCAGAAUUCAAGCCAUACACUACUUCCUAGUUCAGCAUUCUGGGAUUCAGUUGAAUGUUAACCCUACGCACAGCACGUGAUCAACGCACAAAAAUGGGGUGAAAUCCAAUUUCAGAACACCAAGGUUAUGAAUUGGAAAAGGAAGCUGUCAAGCAGACGUGCAGAAUUCCAAAGAUGUGCUUAUUUUUA